GAUGAACGCUAGCGAUAGGCCUAACACAUGCAAGUCGAGGGGCAUCACAUGAAGUAGCAAUACGGAUGGUGGCGACCGGCGCACGGGUGAGUAACACGUAUGCAACCUGCCUUCAACAAGGGGAUAACCCGUUGAAAGACGGACUAAUACCCUAUAACACAGGGGUCCCGCAUGGGGAUAUUUGUUAAAGGACAACCGGUUGAAGAUGGGCAUGCGUUCCAUUAGCUAGUUGGCGGGGUAAGGGCCCACCAAGGCAACGAUGGAUAGGGGAACUGAGAGGUUUAUCCCCCACACUGGUACUGAGACACGGACCAGACUCCUACGGGAGGCAGCAGUGAGGAAUAUUGGUCAAUGGACGCAAGUCUGAACCAGCCACGUCGCGUGAAGGAAGACGGCCCUACGGGUUGUAAACUUCUUUUAUACGGGAAUAAAGUGCCCCACGCGUGGGGUUUGCAUGUACCGUAUGAAUAAGGAUCGGCUAACUCCGUGCCAGCAGCCGCGGU
rnacentral:rRNA from 1 species